UACGAAGGGUGCAAGCGUUACUCGGAAUUACUGGGCGUAAAGCGUGCGUAGGGGGUUUGUUAAGUCUGUUGUGAAAGCCCCGGGCUCAACCUGGGAAUGGCAAUGGAUACUGGCAAGCUAGAGUGCGGUAGAGGGUAGUGGAAUUCCCGGUGUAGCGGUGAAAUGCGUAGAGAUCGGGAGGAACACCAGUGGCGAAGGCGGCUACCUGGACCAGCACUGACACUGAGGCACGAAAGCGUGGGGAGCAAACAGG
rnacentral:rRNA from 1 species